rnacentral:rRNA from 1 species
UACAGAGGUCUCAAGCGUUGUUCGGAAUUACUGGGCGUAAAGGGCGCGUAGGCGGUGCUCUAAGUCGGAUGUGAAAACUCUGGGCUCAACCCAGAGCCUGCAUCCGAAACUGGAGUGCUAGAGUUCUGGAGGGGGGUAGCGGAAUUCCUGGUGUAGCGGUGAAAUGCGUAGAUAUCAGGAGGAACACCGGUGGCGAAGGCGGCUACCUGGACAGAAAACUGACGCUG